rnacentral:rRNA from 1 species
UACGUAGGGGGCUAGCGUUGUCCGGAUUUAUUGGGCGUAAAGAGCGUGUAGGCGGCCAGAUAGGUCUGCUGUGAAAACUCGAGGCUCAACCUCGAGCUGUCGGCGGAAACCAUCCGGCUAGAGUCCGGAAGAGGAGAGUGGAAUUCCCGGUGUAGCGGUGAAAUGCGCAGAUAUCGGGAAGAACACCUGUGGCGAAGGCGGCUCUCUGGGACGGUACUGACGCUAAGACGCGAAAGCGUGGGGAGCAAACAGG